rnacentral:rRNA from 1 species
AUACAGAGGGUGCGAGCGUUAAUCGGAAUUACUGGGCGUAAAGCGCGCGUAGGCGGUCUAUUAAGUCAGAUGUGAAAUCCCAGGGCUCAACCUUGGAACUACAUCUGAUACUGGUAGACUAGAGUUUUGGAGAGGGAAGUAGAAUUUCAGGUGUAGCGGUGAAAUGCAUAGAGAUCUGAAGGAAUACCAGUGGCGAAGGCGACUUCCUGGCCAAAAACUGACGCUGAGGUGCGAAAGCGUGGGUAGCAAACAGGAUUAGAAACCCUUGUAGUCC